GUAAGCGCGGGCUCGCGGGGGCGGCUUGGGGGCGGGCUCCGUGGGGGCGGAGCUCGAGCCUUGGAGGAGGGAUGAGCUCUCGAGCUCUGGAGGCGAAGCGACUUUCAGGACUAGUUAAUCUGUGAUCGUGGAGUUUUACUGGGGCCUGUCUCUUGCUGUUGUGGCGACGCUCCCCAAAGUGGGGGAAAAACCAAGAAAAGAAUUGCGGAAGCCUCGUGCCGUCCCCUCCCUCCGGGCGCAUCCCCAGACUCCAUACUGUGUAAAGUAUGCGCAGAAGCUCCAGGGAGGAUUUUCUUAGUCUGGAGAGGUCAGCUCUGCUGCUGCUGAAUUGUAACUAGCCUGUUUUCCUCCUAAGCCUCACAUUGCUAUGUCUCCUACCUCUCCGCAUCUGCUGGCUUGUACACAUGGUGUUCCUGUCUCCUCUGCUGGAUGAUGGCAGCUGCAGCCCACUGCUCUUCUCUCUAAGCAAGCAUGCCAGAAAGCUUGGAGAACCGCAGCUGCCCUUUUCAGAGCAAAAGGGCAGCUAAAGCUGGAUAGCUAAAGCUGGGACUUCUUACUAAGUAAGAUAUGAACAACUCCUGCCCACCACUGCAAUUCCCCAGUGUAUAAACAUCAGCUUCCACAAACUUAAGAUAUGCCUCCGAGGAGUCAGAGGAGCUUGUUCCAACCCUUGCUAUGGUUUGGUUUUUAUCACUGGCAUCAAAUCGUUCAGUUAUUUUCCUUGCAUUAAUAGGCUUCAUUUCUGUACAAGAAAAUGUCUUAAAUGAUCAUAGUUUGUCCGUCAUCGUUUCAAGUAAAAAUGGUUUGCCAUGACAAAAGCAGCUAUUUGAGCUUGCAACUCAAAAGACUUACAUGUGCUUUUUCUGAAGACACUGUAUUUUAGUAUGCAGAAGAAUUAAUUUACGUGUAUUUCCCAUUUGUCACACAAAAUGUUAAAGGGACAUGUACUCCAUAAAAUUAAUGGUUUUUACUAAGUUUUUUUAAGGACAUUCUUAAACUUUUUUUUUUCAUAACGUGUGGCAGGAAGAAUACAUUGACUUAAUUCAUGCUAGCAGUUUUACUCACCAUUGCUUUUGCACCAUCAAUGCAAAUGCUAAUGCAGGUGUUCCAAGAUAAACUAUGAAAUUCAAAAAGUUCAUUUACCACUUUGAUAUUUCAGCACAAGUUGUAUUUAAUGCCUGUCAUUCAAAUAAAAGAUCUUCUCUGAUGAUUAGUUGGUGCUGAUACCAGAUAGAUGUAGGCAAAACAGCUAGUCCAGCAAAAUCUGUAGGCCUGCCCAUUUUUUAAGGUAAAAUUACAAUUCUGCAGACGAGAUAUCAACCCAAUCUUCAUGAUUUCAGUUAAAUCUUUAAAGAGUUACUGUAUAUGUGGAAAAUUGAACUUACGUAAUUUAUUUUACUGACUUUUCAUCCAGCAGGUAUUGCGAUGUCAUCUGUAUACAGCUUCAUUCGUAUUUUUUAUGCUCCAGCCAAUGCAAUACAAUAAUUCAGUCUGUAAAGUGUUUCCGUGGCUUUUUCACUUCUGAUUUCAAAAGCUAGAAUAAUGUUUGGCUUUAAAGAGCUUUUCACAUCUAUUUUUUAAUAUAUUCAGUUCCUUUUUCUUUAAACUCUCAUCUCAAAAUGAAACUACAACUUAUCUGAAAGUCUUUUGUUACAUAAGACACAAUAAGGUAAAUUGUUAACAUCUAUAAGGCCAAGGAAAAGAUACUUUUCCUUAUAUUUUUAUUUUUUAUUUAUAUUAUAUCCAGUUUCUUUAAAUAGAUUACUUCCUUCCAUGAAUCAGAGGACUCUGAUAUCUCAGUUUCAUCUUUUUUGGCAUUUUUUGACGUAGUCCAUCGUUGGGGUGAGAAAGCAAUUCUUCUAAUCUCCCAUUUAAAGCCAAUGAUCCAUCCAUUUCCCAUGUUGUUUCUUCCUUUGCAUAAAUUCAGAUUUCUAUCUGGUUUCAUUUCUCUCCUGCAUUUCCUUCUUUAACAUUUCUUUUUCUUUUUUUUUUUUUUUUUUUUUUUGAGGAAGAUUAGCCCUGAGCUAACUACUGCCAGUCCUCCUCUUUUUGCUGAGGAAGACUGGUCCUGAAUUAACAUCCGUGCCCAUCUUCCUCUACUUUAUAUGUGGGGCGCCUGCCACAGCAUGGCUUGUUGAGAGGUGCCAUGUCCACACUCGGGAUCUGAACCAGCGAGCCCUGGGCCUCCGAGAAGCAGAACGUUCGAACUUAACCGCUGUGCCACCGGGCCAGCCCCUCUUUAACAUUUCUUGUAGUGCAGUUUUCUAGUGAUGAAAUUUCUCAAGUUUUUAGUUUGAAAAAGUCUUUUUCAUCUCAAUUUUUGAAAUAUUUUCUCUAGAUAUAGAAUUCUAGGUUGACUUUUUUCAGAAAAAGAUUUUGCUCCAUUGUUUUCUGCCUUGUAUACUGAGAAGUGUGCUAUCAUGCAUAACUUUGUUUUUCUGUAUGUAAUGUGCCUUCUAUGGUUGCUUGUAAGAGUUUUUUCUUUACUAGGGGUUUUCAGCAGUAUGAUUUUUGUGUGUUUUGUAUGGUUUUCUUCAUGUUUCUUCUACUUGGGAGGCAUUGAGCUUCUUGGAUAUGUAGGUUUAUACUUUCUAUCAAAUUUGGAAAUUUUCACCCACAAUUUCUUCAAAUAUUUUUCUCCCCUUCUUUUUUCUGUGACUCCAAUUAUGUGUAUACUAGACUUUUUGAUAUUUUCCCACAGGUCAUUGACACUCGUUGAUUUUUUUCAGUCUCAUUUCUCUGUUUCAUUUUGAAUAGUUUCUAUCACUAUAUCUUCAAAUUCACUAGUCUUUUCUUCUGCAGUGUCUAAUGUGCUGUUAAUCCCAUCCAGUACAUUUUUCAUUUCAGAUAACGUGUUUUUCAACUCUACAAAUUCUUUGUGGUUCUUUGAAGAAUCUUCCAUCAUGUUCCUAUUUUACUCUACUUGUUGAUCAUACAGAUGUAUUUAUAGUAACUUUUAAUGUCCUAAUAUAACCAGUGGCAUUUUUGUGUCUAUUUCAAUAAUUUUAUUUUUUUAAUUUAGAUUAUGGGUCAUAUUUUCCUGCCUCUUUGUCUGACUGCUAAGUUUUACUGGAUGACAGGCACUGUGAAUUUUGUUGAUAGAUGCUGGAUUUUAGUGUGUUCAUUUAAAUAUUGUUGGGGUUUGUUCUGGGAUGCAGUUAAAUUGAAAUUAGUUUGAUACUCUUGAGGUUUAUUUUAAACUUUGUAGGGUAGGUCCAGAGCAGCCUGUAGUUAGGAGCUUGUUUGGCUCCACUAUUAAGGUAAUACCUUUCUGAGAACUCUGCGCCAUGCCCAGUGUAUUGAAUGCCCCAUGUGUUAGUCUUUCCACAAACUAUUCCCAGAGUGAGAGAGUUAAAGAUUGUUCUGCCUCCUCCUUUUUAGUCGUUCUUUCUCUGGUUUCUGGUAGUUUCUUCUCACAUACGUGCAGAUCAGUCCUCAGCAAAAGACUCCAGAUCAAGCUUCUGCAGAUCUUUGCAGUACUCUCUAUAUUUGACUGCCUCCUCAAUGUUAUUAUAUCUUUAAAUUCUAGAAAAUUGGCCUCCCCAGACACCAAACUCUGUUUCCUCAAUUUAGUGUGAUUCCUGACUUCUGUUUGGGUACCCUUCCAUAAGUUACAGCCUGGAAACUCCAGAAACAAGCUUGACAAAAUAGGACUUACCUUCCUUAUUUCCUUAUUUAUAGGGUCACUGAUCACUGUCCUGUGCUGACUGUCCUCCAGUGUCUGAAAACCAUUGUUUUAUAUAUUUCAUCCAGUUUUCUGUUUGUUAUGAUGGAAGGAUAAAUCUGGUCCCUCUUACUCCAUCAUGGCUGGAAACUAAACUUCAUAGUGUUUAAAUUUUUUUUUUUUUGAUGUUGCAUUCCUUGAGAAGACAUACACUUCCCAGUUUUACCACUAAAGUACUCACUGCUAAAUAUUGUCUUAGAAUGAACAGUUUCACACACAUUUAUGUCACUUACUUGAUCCCUAAGAUGGCUGGGUUUGCAACUGAUUUGUAUUGUUACAUUUCCAGUCUGCUUUCUCUUCUUAAGAGUUUUUUUUCCUUACAACACCAGAGUUCCAACAAAAACUGUGCAAAGAGAAAGGACAAUAAUAAUAUAUGUGGCAAUCGAAAUCCAAAGAGAGAAUAAGACACUUUUCCUGAGGAAGAAAAAAAAUAUCUGUGGAAACUUGAUACUAAGAUAACAUUUAACUUACAAACUCUUAGCUUCUCUAAGAUAUUUACAUUCAAGAUACUUCAAGUUUUCCCAGGAACAACAGCCCCACUGUACAUAGUUGUGUAUUCCACUUGUGAGUGCCUCUUGUUGUGCUAUAUGGGAUGCUGCCUCAACAAGACCUGAUGAGUGAUGCCGUGUCCCUGUCCAGGAUCUGAACCGGCGAAACCCUGGGCUGCCAAAGCAGAGCACACGAACAACUACUCAGCCAUGGGGCUGGCCCCUGGGUAUUGUUUUAAGGCACCAAGUUUGUGGUAAUUUGUUACAGCAGCCAUAGGAAACUAAUACAGUCACAAAUCAUUAUCUUAAAAACACAAAUAAAAGGAAAGAAGCAAGCAUUCAUUUCACCCUUCCUAAUGAACCAUGCUACUUGGUAAAUGAUAAAUGAGGGAGUGUAUUCUUAUAAAUUUAUUCCAACUAAUAAAUAAAAACAUUGGGAUACCACUAUUUUGCAAAUACCAGUGAAUUAAUGAAUCUAGACAUCGAGCACAAAUGACUGCUAACAUCAAAAUUGACUAAAAACAAGUUAUUUGUGCCUUUGGAUGAAAGAUUAUAGUGCUACCAAAGGGAUAAAAAUGUAGUUUUAUCAAGCUUCUGGAUCCUGAAGACAACUUGCAGGAAAUAGAAAAAAAAUAGAAGUUGUUGAAUUACACCAUGAGUAUGUAAUCAACAAAAUCAAGACUAUGAGAAACUGGCCAGGACAAACAGCUCAGUUCUUCAACAGAUAAAUAUUAAAGAAAAGAAAGGAAUGGAGGGAAUAUCUAUACAUGAAAAGUAAAUUAAAAUUCAGAUCAAGUUAACAAAAAUGGGUAAAUCUAAACUGUAGUGUCUAGGGAUGCCCACUUGAGUGAUCAAAAACCAUAAAAACUUCAAGGAAAUGAGUAUAAAAGUUGGGAGAGUGGAUAUGGGUGGGAGGAGGCUGUGAUAGGAAAAGGCACACAGAGAGGCUUUUUGGAUGGCUAGCCAAUUUCUAUUUCUUGGCCAAGAUGGUUCAAGAGUACUGUCUUAGAUCAUUUGGGCUGUUUUAACAAAGUACCACAGACUGGGUAGCUGAUAAACAAAAGAAAUUUAUUUCUCACAUUUUUGGAGGCUGGAAGUCCAAGAUCACAGCACUUGCAUGGUUGGGUGAGGGCCUUCUUCCAGGUUGCAGCCUUCUGCUUAUAUCCUCAGUAGGAAGAAGGGGCUAGGGAGCUCCCUGGAGCCUCUUUUAUAAGGCUCUAAGCACAUUCAUGAGGAUUCCACCCUCAGGACUUAGGCACCUCCCAAAGGCCUCACUUCCUAAUACCAUUGCCUUAGGUAUCCUACCUUAGGAUCUCAACAUAUGAAUUUUUUGAGAAACAUUUAGACUAUAGC
ensembl:lncRNA